UACAGAGACUGCAAGCGUUAUUCGGAUUCACUGGGCGUAAAGGGUGCGCAGGCGGCCAAGUGUGUUAGGCGUGAAAGCCCGGGGCUUAACCCCGGAAUUGCACCUAAAACUACAUGGCUAGAGCAUUGGAGAGGGUAGCAGAAUUCAUGGUGUAGCAGUGAAAUGCGUAGAGAUCGGGAGGAACACCAGUGGCGAAGGCGGCUCGCUGGGCCGGACCUGACGCUUGAGACGCGAAGGCGUGGGGGAGCGAACGGG
rnacentral:rRNA from 1 species